UUGAUCCUGGCUCAGGAUGAACGCUGGCGGUCUGCUUAACACAUGCAAGUCGAACGGAAUCCUUAGGGAUUUAGUGGCGGACGGGUGAGUAACACGUAAGAACCUGCCUCUAGGACGGGGACAACAGUUGGAAACGACUGCUAAACCCGGAUGAGCCGAAAGGUAAAAGAUUAAUCGCCUAGAGAGGGGCUUGCGUCUGAUUAGCUAGUUGGUGAGGUAAGAGCCCACCAAGGCGACGAUCAGUAGCUGGUCUGAGAGGAUGAUCAGCCACACUGGGACUGAGACACGGCCCAGACUCCUACGGGAGGCAGCAGUGGGGAAUUUUCCGCAAUGGGCGAAAGCCUGACGGAGCAAGACCGCGUGGGGGAGGAAGGUUCUUGGAUUGUCAACCCCUUUUCUCAGGGAAGAACACAAUGACGGUACCUGAGGAAAAAGCAUCGGCUAACUCCGUGCCAGCAGCCGCGGUAAUACGGGGGAUGCAAGCGUUAUCCGGAAUGAUUGGGCGUAAAGAGUCCGUAGGUAGUCAUCCAAGUCUGCUGUUAAAGAGCGAGGCUUAACCUCGUAAAGGCAGUGGAAACUGGAAGACUAGAGUGUAGUAGGGGCAGAGGGAAUUCCUGGUGUAGCGGUGAAAUGCGUAGAGAUCAGGAAGAACACCGGUGGCGAAGGCGCUCUGCUGGGCUAUAACUGACACUGAGGGACGAAAGCUAGGGGAGCGAAUGGGAUUAGAUACCCCAGUAGUCCUAGCGGUAAACGAUGGAAACUAGGUGUGGCCUGUAUCGACCCGGGCCGUGCCGAAGCAAACGCGUUAAGUUUCCCGCCUGGGGAGUACGCACGCAAGUGUGAAACUCAAAGGAAUUGACGGGGGCCCGCACAAGCGGUGGAGUAUGUGGUUUAAUUCGAUGCAACGCGAAGAACCUUACCAGGACUUGACAUCUCUGGAAUCUCCUUGAAAGGGGAAAGUGCCGUAAGGAACCGGAAGACAGGUGCUGCAUGGCUGUCGUCAGCUCGUGUCGUGAGAUGUUGGGUUAAGUCCCGCAACGAGCGCAACCCUCGUCGUUAGUUGCCAUCAUUAAGUUGGGAACUCUAGCGAGACUGCCGGUGACAAACCGGAGGAAGGUGAGGAUGACGUCAAGUCAGCAUGGCCCUUACGUCCUGGGCGACACACGUACUACAAUGCGAGGGACACAGAGCAGCCAACCCGCGAGGGAGAGCGAAUCUCACAAACCCUGGCACAGUUCAGAUUGCAGGCUGCAACUCGCCUGCAUGAAGGAGGAAUCGCUAGUAAUCGCAGGUCAGCAUACUGCGGUGAAUCCGUUCCCGGGCCUUGUACACACCGCCCGUCACACCAUGGAAGUGAGCCACGCCCGAAGUCAUUACUCUAACCCUUUCGGGGGAGGAGGGUGCCGAAGGCGGGGUUGAUGACUGGGGUGAAGUCGUAACAAGGUAGCCGUA
rnacentral:rRNA from 1 species